AAUAUUGCAUGAAGGUCUUCACAUGCAUACCCCACGUUAAACUAUCAAUAAAUACACCUUACUUAAGACAGAUUCAGGCGGCCAUGUGUCUCUGCACAUAUUUACCUCAGCGAACGUAUAUGUACAUACAUUUGUACAUAUGCAUACGCAUGUAGAUAAACGCCCUUUAAUUUAAUGGAGAGCAGUUUGUACAUGGUUGACAUCACAAUUCGAAUUUAUUUUCCAGAUCUCAGAGAAGACAUGCUGAGAUUUUAUAAUAAAGUCACGAUUUUAUUUCUUUUGCAUAAUCGCAGCAUGACGAACAUGUCCAUUGUCUAUCCCAUCCAUCCCCUUAACAAAACAAUGCAAACACCAGGACCCUCAUCUCGUCAAAAUUAACUUGUGCUACUACACUUUGCGCAGCAGUCGGAGUUGUUGAUUAAAAGCAAUCAAGCGCAUCUGUCAAAGAUAAUUAGAUAGAACAAUCAGCAAAUAUCUUAAUUGGUCAAUUAUUGAACCUUCUCCUGAGCUGGACUUUUCCGAGUCCAUAAAAAAUCUUAGAAUUGGUCUGCUCACAGAGAGUACAAAUUUAUGUAUCCAAAUAAAACAAAAUCAAAUAUGAACAAAUAAUAAUUUAUAACUAGAUUCUCAAUUUUUUGAAUUAAAAAUCAAUAUGUAAAUAUUCUACCACAUUUUCAAACAGCAGAACGAGUUUGAUGCUGAACCACUAAAUUAUAAUUUCAUUGUCAAGAGUCUAUUGCCAAGCAAGAUUAGAGGUGACACAUCACGAUCAAUAAAAAAAUAAAAAGUGUAAUGUCUUUCCAUAUUUGGAUAUUGUAUUGAUAAAAUUUUUGACGCAAUGCAUAUGUAUGUAUUUUGCUUCAGAUUGUGUUGACACGAGUAAUACAAGUGACACAUAUUAUAAUUUUUUAUCGAAAUAAGGAUAGCUCAAAUAUUUAAUUUCGUUCUGUUGGAUUGCACAUCUUCCAUUCACCACACCCUAACCUUAUCCUUGUCUUAAGUGAAGAAUUAUCAGAAAGGAUGAAAACCAGUAUGUUCAUUUUCGCUCAAAGAAAUAUCCACAACAUUCCACCCCAAUGUCAAUGAUACAAGAAUCUGACGAUGAUGAUAAUGAAGCCGAUGGGAUCUUUGGAUCUGUAUAGUAGAAAUAGCCCUUGGGAAUAUUUGUUCUGCAUACAUACACGUGUGAAUCUACUAAACAUUAGAUCCAAUAAUAAAUAAAGCCGGUGUUGGUGUAAGCGAUGUUU